rnacentral:rRNA from 1 species
AGGACUAACGCUGGCGGCGUGCCUAACACAUGCAAGUCGAACGAGAGUAGCAAUACUCUAGUGGCAGACGGGUGAGUAACACGUGGUCAACCUACCUCUAUGUGGGGGAUAACUAGCCGAAAGGUUAGCUAAUACCGCAUACGAUCGUCGAGCGGCAUCGCUUGACGAUGAAAGGAGCAAUCCGCAGAGAGACGGGACCGCGUCCCAUUAGCUAGUUGGUGGGGUAAAGGCCUACCAAGGCGACGAUGGGUAGCUGGCUUGAGAGAGCGACCAGCCACACUGGGACUGAGACACGGCCCAGACUCCUACGGGAGGCAGCAGUGAGGAAUUUUCCGCAAUGGGCGAAAGCCUGACGGAGCGACGCCGCGUGUGGGAAGAAGGCCUUCGGGUCGUAAACCACUGUCGAAGGGGAAGAUAUUGACGGUACCCUUGGAGGAAGCCCCGGCUAACUACGCGCCAGCAGCCGC